rnacentral:lncRNA from 1 species
AAAUACUGAUUUUGUUUUGCUAGCAUCACAAAUAAAUAUUUUGAGAAUUCAUCUUUCUUAAGAAUUCUAAAAUUUUGCUUCUGAAUCUUUUUCAUGAUAUUACUUUAACUUUCUGAUAUACUUUCAAAGAGUUCGUUGACUUCAGAAUCCUAUCUGAUUAUUUGAGCUUGUAUCAUAAUUUAGAAGAGAAGAAAGAUAGGGAGGGUUGUAGCUAAAUAAGUUGGGAAAACUGCUACAUUCACUUUACUAAAAUGAAUGUCAUUCCAUUUUUUACUAUAGAGUUUAUAGCAAGGAAAACCUUGUAUAUGAUUAUUCAAAGCAGCAUUAUUCAUAUUAUCCAAAUGUCUAAUAACUGGUGAACAUGUGAAUAUCAAUUUUCAUAUUGUAUCCAUUUUAUAUACCUGUAAUUAAACAUUAUUUGAUCAUAAAAAGAAAUACUGAUACAUGUUACAACAUGGAUGAGUCUUGAGAGUACUAUAUUAAGUGAAAGAAGCCAGGAACAAGGUCACAUAUUCUCUUGAUUCCAUUUAUAUGAAAUGUCCAUUGCAGGCAUAUCUGUAGAGACAGAAAGGAGAUUAGUUGUUGCGGGGGGUCAGGGUAGGGAGUUGGGCAGUGACUGCUAAUGGGUGCAGGUUUCUUUUUGGGGUGAUGGAAUGUGGUGCAGUGGUGGUGUUUUGUUAAAGGGCUAUGAGUUCAACUGUGAAUAUGCUAAAAACACUAAAUUGGUCUUUUAAAAGAGUGAAUUUGAUAUGUGAUUUAUAUGUCAACAAGCUGUUAGUAAAAACAAAAGGAGGGUUAUAGCAACAGUUAAGGCAAGAAGAGAUCAGGGCUUAAAAUGAGACAGUUAUGAUAGAAAGGGACUGGGGAAUGUAGGAGGUGAGCUGAAGAGCUUCAAUGACUAAUUUUUUUUACUGACAGGGACACAAAAUCCCCAGGGCUGAAAUCCUUAGGAGACAGUACUAAUGGCUGCUCCGGUACACAGCUUGAAUUUGAGCAAUUGCUUGAAUUUGAGCAAUUGCUAGCUUCACCAAGAACAGACUGUACACAUAAUAAAUGAAGGCCCUUUAACAAAAACUGUCAUCUGUAGACAAC